rnacentral:rRNA from 1 species
ACGGCCGCAAGGUUAAAACUCAAAUGAAUUGACGGGGGCCCGCACAAGCGGUGGAGCAUGUGGUUUAAUUCGAUGCAACGCGAAGAACCUUACCUGGUCUUGACAUCCACGGAAGUUUUCAGAGAUGAGAAUGUGCCUUCGGGAACCGUGAGACAGGUGCUGCAUGGCUGUCGUCAGCUCGUGUUGUGAAAUGUUGGGUUAAGUCCCGCAACGAGCGCAACCCUUAUCCUUUGUUGCCAGCGGUCCGGCCGGGAACUCAAAGGAGACUGCCAGUGAUAAACUGGAGGAAGGUGGGGAUGACGUCAAGUCAUCAUGGCCCUUACGACCAGGGCUACACACGUGCUACAAUGGCGCAUACAAAGAGAAGCGACCUCGCGAGAGCAAGCGGACCUCAUAAAGUGCGUCGUAGUCCGGAUUGGAGUCUGCAACUCGACUCCAUGAAGUCGGAAUCGCUAGUAAUCGUGGAUCAGAAUGCCACGGUGAAUACGUUCCCGGGCCUUGUACACACCGCCCGUCACAC